AGAUGUCACUUGCCCUGUGGUAAGGAAGUGUAGUUGGCAGCUGGUGCAGUGGCAAGAAGAGAAAGGAAGUUCCCCAAGACAGAAACAUCUCGGCAGGUUUGGAAUAGUUCACCAGUGAAGUCAUCUCAACCAGCACAGGGCCUUGACUCCUAACAACAAUCACACGAACUUGGAAGAGGAUCCUUCCCCAGCUGAAACUUCACUUGAGACCUUCUCAUUGGCCAUCAUCGACAUCUGGAUUCAUGAUACAGAGAAACUGCUUUGAAUAACUCACCAGUGAAGUCAUCUUGACCUGGACAGAAAUUGAAUCCUCCCAAGAAUCCCAGGAGCUUGGAAGGGGAUCCUUCCCCAGAUGAGCCUUCCCUUGAAAUCUCUGCCAGGCAUCUGACCCAGAGAAACUGUCAGAGAGGUUAAUCCUAAGAACAGUUACAUAAGCUUGGAAGGAGACCUUUCCCCAGAUGGGCCAUAGCCUGGGCCAUCACCUACAUCUGGACUGAAGAACCAGAGAAACUACUCCAUCAGGAAUCGUUUGGGACCGUGGGUUCUGUUGACACUCACAUUGUGUAAUUAUGUUGCCCACUGCCAACCCUAAAGCCACCAAGGUAGCAGGUUUCAAAUAAUUCAUCAGUGAAUUCUCCUCAACCUGGUCAAUCAUGUGAACUUAGAAGAUGAUUCCUCCCCAGCUGAUCCUCAGGAAUACACUUUACUGAAUCAUGAAAAGCUGUAAAUAGCUGAAAAGAAAAAUGUGGUCUUGACUCUGAAAAACAACAAAAAGGAUCAGCAACAUUUCAAGCAACAAGUCAUAAAACGAUUACUGUGGUCUUGUAUUAGUUCAGUCCAUGCAGUGAACUUUGUCUGACAUUGGGCCUGCAGUCCUCAUAAACAUACCAGCUAUCUC
rnacentral:lncRNA from 1 species